GUCUUUUUAGUAUUUAAUAUAAAGUCUGGCCUGCCCACUGAAUAAUUUGAAGGGCCGCAGUAUUUUGACUGUGCAAAGGUAGCAUAAUCAUUAGUCUUUUAAUUGAAGGCUGGUAUGAAUGGUCGGAUGAGAUAUAAGCUGUAUCAUAAAAAUUAUUAUUUGAAUUUAACUUUUUAGUCAAAAGGCUAAAAUAAACUUAAAAGACGAGAAGACCCUAUAGAGCUUUAUAUAAUGAAUAUUUAAGUUAUUAAGAUUUAUUAAAUUUAAUUUUUGUAUUAUAUUUUGUUGGGGUGACAAUAAAAUUUAUAAAACUUUUAUUUUUAUUUGACAUUAAUUUAUGGUUAUAUGAUCCAAUAUUAUUGAUUAUAAAUUUAAGUUACCUUAGGGAUAACAGCGUAAUUUUUUUUGAGAGUUCUUAUCGACAAAAAAGAUUGCGACCUCGAUGUUGGAUUAAGAGUAAUUUUGGGUGUAGAAGUUCAAAAUUUAAGUCUGUUCGACUUUUAAAUUCUUACAU
rnacentral:rRNA from 1 species